AUUGAACGCUGGCGGCAUGCUUUACACAUGCAAGUCGAACGGUAACAGGGUGCUUGCACCGCUGACGAGUGGCGAACGGGUGAGUAAUGCGUCGGAACGUGCCGAGUAGUGGGGGAUAACGCAGCGAAAGUUGUGCUAAUACCGCAUACGUACUGAGGUAGAAAGUGGGGGACCUUCGGGCCUCACGCUAUUCGAGCGGCCGACGUCUGAUUAGCUAGUAGGUGAGGUAAAGGCUCACCUAGGCGACGAUCUGUAGCGGGUCUGAGAGGAUGAUCCGCCACACUGGGACUGAGACACGGCCCAGACUCCUACGGGAGGCAGCAGUGGGGAAUAUUGGACAAUGGGGGGAACCCUGAUCCAGCCAUGCCGCGUGUGUGAAGAAGGCCUUAUGGUUGUAAAGCACUUUAAGCGAGGAGGAGGCUACUGAGACUAAUACUCUUGGAUAGUGGACGUUACUCGCAGAAUAAGCACCGGCUAACUCUGUGCCAGCAGCCGCCGUAA
rnacentral:rRNA from 1 species